GACCUAGUGGUGAAGUGCAUCACACCCACUUCUCAUGUUGCCCUAGUAUCCCCAUUGUGGGUGGGAGUUCCCAGUUCGAGUCUGGGUUAGGUCA